rnacentral:rRNA from 1 species
GACGAACGCUGGCGGCGUGCUUAACACAUGCAAGUCGAACGGAAGGGCCCUGCUUUUGUGGGGUGCUCGAGUGGCGAACGGGUGAGUAACACGUGAGUAACCUGCCCUUGACUUUGGGAUAACUUCAGGAAACUGGGGCUAAUACCGGAUAGGAGCUCCUGCUGCAUGGUGGGGGUUGGAAAGUUUCGGCGGUUGGGGAUGGACUCGCGGCUUAUCAGCUUGUUGGUGGGGUAGUGGCUUACCAAGGGUUUGACGGGUAGCCGGCCUGGGAGGGUGGACGGCCACAUUGGGACUGCGAUACGGACCAGACUCCUACGGGAGGCAGCAGUGGGGAAUAUUGCACAAUGGGCGGAAGCCUGAUGCAGCAACGUCGCGUGCGGGAUGACGGCCUUCGGGUUGUAAACCGCUUUCGCCUGUGACGAAGCGUGAGUGACGGUAAUGGGUAAAGAAGCACCGGCUAACUACGUG